rnacentral:rRNA from 1 species
AUUGAACGCUGGCGGCAGGCCUAACACAUGCAAGUCGAACGAGUGGCGGACGGGUGAGUAAUGUAUGGGAAACUGCCUGAAGGACGGGGAUAACUACUGGCAACGGUAGCUAAUACCGCAUACCAUCAGAUGUGCCCAGAUUGGAUUAGCUAGUUGGUGGGGUACCGGCUCACACAGGCGACGAUCCCUAGCUGGUCUGAGAGGAUGACCAAGCACACUGGAACUGAGACACGGUCCAGACUCCUACGGUAGGCAGCAGUGGUGAAUAUUGCACAAUGGGCGCAAGCCUGAUGCAGCCAUGCCGCGUGUAUGAAGAAGGCCUUCGGGUUGUAAAGUACUUUCAGCGGGGAGGCGUUACCCGCAGAAGAAGCACCGGCUAACUCCGUGCCAGCAGCCGCGGUAAUAC